rnacentral:lncRNA from 1 species
CCAGAGUGAGUUUCUCAAGAGAGUUUCUCAACAUCAGUGCUAUUGACAUUUUGGGUGGGUAAUUCUUUUAUGUGAAUUAUAGGAUGUUUUGCAGCAUCCCUGGCCUCUAUGAAUUUAAUUCCAUUAGCAGCCCUCAUUCUCAGCUGUAACAACCAAAUACGUCUUCAGACCUGGCCAAAUGUAUGCUGGGAAGGGAUGUAAAACUGCCCCCAGCUGAGAACAAUACCCUAAGAGAAGAAAUGAGAUAGAGGACAAGAAAAGUCUGAAUGCCAGAAAGAACUGUUUCUGGAUGCGUGGAGGAAGCUAAUGUCAGCACUCUUUCUGGCUGGUAUGAACACUGCAAGAAACACUCAGAGAUAGACAACCUUAUUAUUUGAAUAUGCAGUUUGAGAAAACCGAGGCUCAGUUGCUUGCCGGAAAUCACAUAGCAGGUUGUAAGAUUCUUGAUAGCAGGAACCUUGAAUUACCACCUGCGAUCCCAUUUGCCUGGCAGAACCUGGACAAGAAUCCUCUUAUUGGGACUCUUUGGAAUAUACCUCACCUUCCCUCCACGUCCAGGAGAGAUGAUCAUGUUUUGAUUCUAUUCUUGCCUCACUUUCAUCAUCUUUAAAAUGGGAAUAAAAAUAUGACUUUAGGGACA